rnacentral:rRNA from 1 species
CAGUAGCCACGGAAUACGGAGGGUGCAAGCGUUAAUCGGAAUUACUGGGCGUAAAGCGCACGCAGGCGGUCUGACAAGUCAGAUGUGAAAUCCCCGGGCUUAACCUGGGAACUGCAUUUGAAACUGUCAGGCUGGAGUCUUGUAGAGGGGGGUGGAAUUCCAGGUGUAGCGGUGAAAUGCGUAGAGAUCUGGAGGAAUACCGGUGGCGAAGGCGGCCCCCUGGACAAAGACUGACGCUCAGGUGCGAAAGCGUGGGGAGCAAACAGGAUUAGAUACCCCGGUAGUCCCUGUCUCUUAUACA